AUUCUACUCCCUCCGUUCGGAAUUACUUGUCUCGAAAAUGGAUGUAUCUAGAACUAAAAUACAUCUAGAUGCAUCCAUUUCUGCGACAAAUAAUUCCGAACGGAGGAAGUAGGAG
rnacentral:pre_miRNA from 1 species